rnacentral:rRNA from 1 species
UACGUAAAAGACUAGUGUUAUUCAUCUUUAGUAGGUUUAAAGGGUACCUAGACGGUAUAAUUAGUCUUAAACAAGAAACGGUUAUGCUAGAGUUAUAUAUGAGAAGGGGAGUAUUUAUGGAGUAGAGUUGAAAUUCUUUGAUCCCAUAACGACUGGUAGACGGCGAAAGCAACCUUUUAUCUAAUAACUGACGUUGAGGACGAAGGCUCGGGUCACGAACAGG